rnacentral:rRNA from 1 species
UACGUAGGGUGCGAGCGUUAAUCGGAAUUACUGGGCGUAAAGCGUGCGCAGGCGGUUCGUUGUGUCUGAUGUGAAAGCCCCGGGCUCAACCUGGGAAUGGCAUUGGAAACUGGCGAGCUAGAGUGUGGCAGAGGGGGGUGGAAUUCCGCGUGUAGCAGUGAAAUGCGUAGAUAUCGGGAGGAACACCAGUGGCGAAGGCGGUGGUCUGGGCCGGCACUGACGCUGAGGAGCGAAAGCGUGGGUAGCAAACAGG